UACGAAGGGGGCUAGCGUUGUUCGGAAUCACUGGGCGUAAAGCGCGCGUAGGCGGCUUUGCAAGUGCGGCGUGAAAGUCCUGGGCUCAACCUGGGGACGGCGCUGCGGACUGCAUGGCUGGAGUCCGGAAGAGGGUGGUGGAAUUCCUAGUGUAGAGGUGAAAUUCGUAGAUAUUAGGAAGAACACCAGUGGCGAAGGCGGCUCACUGGCCCGGUACUGACGCUGAGGCGCGAAAGCGUGGGGAGCAAACAGG
rnacentral:rRNA from 1 species